rnacentral:lncRNA from 1 species
UCGCGUUGUGGUUGUGCGGGGCAAAGUGGUAGAUGCCUCAGUCCUAAAGAUUCGCCAGGUCUUGCAACUGCCUUCGUUCACUGGUGAAAUUUAUUAUUACCACAAUUCUCCAGGGUUCGAUUGGGACACUGCAAUUGAGUCAAUAUGCUCAUGGGGACGCCUAGUUAGAUACAUGAGAACAUGACCCUUCACUCCAAGUCGUUCAAAUGGAAAGUUAAGUGCUGGUUCACUAUGAUUUGCAGUAGGUUAUUGCCCAUGGGAAACAUGACAGAUGUGAAUAGCUUAUGGUCUCUAUUGGUUUGGUGCUUCGUAACCAGGAAGGACGUUGAUGUUGCUAAAAUCAUUGGAGAUGAAAUGAUCCUCCGGACACCUCUGAUAACUAAGGGGUUUUACUUCCCCAUACUUUUUACGAGGUUAUGUCUGUUGGCCGAUGUCCCAGUCACUCUUACGGAUGGCACUUUACCCCCAAAACAGCAUUUUGAGAAGUCACCUUUGAUGACUAAGGGGUUUUACUUUCCCUCACUUGUGACGAGGUUACGUCUACUGGCUGAUGUCCCAGCCAGUCCUAAGGAUGGCACUUUACCCCCAAAAACAACAUUUAGA